UACGUAGGGGGGCAAGCGUUUGUCCGGAUUUAUUGGGUUUAAAGGGUGCGUAGGUGGCCCGUUAAGUCCGGGGUGAAAGCCCACUGCUCAACAGUGGAACUGCCCUGGAUACUGGCGGGCUUGAGUCCAGACGAGGUUGGCGGAAUGGGAUGGUGUAGCGGUGAAAUGCAUAGAUACCAUCCAGAACCCCGAUUGCGUAGGCAGCUGACUAGGCUGGUACUGACACUGAGGCACGAAAGCGUGGGGAGCGAACAGG
rnacentral:rRNA from 1 species